rfam:Aedes aegypti strain Liverpool supercont1.416 genomic scaffold, whole genome shotgun sequence.
GCGCGAUGAUUUUCGGUGAUUAUCCGGCGGAGUACAACCCGAAGAUCCACGGACCUUACGAUCCUGUCCGUUACUACGGCAAGCCGGAUACACCAGGUGAAGUU